rnacentral:tRNA from 1 species
GGGGCCGUAGUCUAGCCUGGCUAGGAUGCGUGGCUUGGGACCGAUGGGGCAAGAACCCACGUGACCCCGGGUUCAAAUCCCGGCGGCCCCA